rnacentral:rRNA from 1 species
AUUGAACGCUGGCGGCAUGCCUUACACAUGCAAGUCGAACGGUAACAGCUCUUCGGAGGCUGACGAGUGGCGAACGGGUGAGUAAUACAUCGGAACGUGCCCGAUCGUGGGGGAUAACGGAGCGAAAGCUUUGCUAAUACCGCAUACGAUCUACGGAUGAAAGCAGGGGACCCUCGGGCCUUGCGCGAACGGAGCGGCCGAUGGCUGAUUAGGUAGUUGGUGGGAUAAAAGCUUACCAAGCCGACGAUCUGUAGCUGGUCUGAGAGGACGACCAGCCACACUGGGACUGAGACACGGCCCAGACUCCUACGGGAGGCAGCAGUGGGGAAUUUUGGACAAUGGGCGAAAGCCUGAUCCAGCAAUGCCGCGUGCAGGAUGAAGGCCUUCGGGUUGUAAACUGCUUUUGUACGGAACGAAAAGUCUCGGGAUAAUACCCUGGGACCAUGACGGUACCGUAAGAAUAAGCACCGGCUAACUACGUGCCAGCCGCCGCGGUAUCAC